UUACAGGAUAGCGUGGGAAUAAAGCAUUUCAAAUGCCGCAUUCAGAGCACAGAAAUGUGGCGCGUGUCUCCCAAGUCUGAGGAGACUAUUUUUUAUCUCCUGAGCAGUGGACUUUGCGGUGGUUCCUAUUUUGUUGGCCCCAGAGAGCUGCCAUAGAAUGCCACAGUACGUGCUGGAGUCUUUCUGGCUGGCUGGAUGCGAUAGCUGCUGACAGACUUGCUCCAGACUCUUCGAAAAGUGAAAUUAGCCUCAUGUCUGCCUCCUACUAGCUACAAAACACCAAUGGUCUCCAAAUUACCCAGUGUUAUUGACGGGCUGCUCCCGUCUGGGGGCCACUGCAGAGGCACAGUGGAGGGACCCAGCGACGGAGCAGUGAGGUGAGACCGCAGCGCUGCGCAGAGGGGACAGCCGAGACUGAGGUGGGCCGAUUGGGGCUCCUGCGGCCGCACCUGUGGCCGGGAAGGUGGCCCAUGUGGGCGUUCUGGACACGGGGGAGGCAGCAGGUAGGCCGGGGAUGAGGCUCGGGUCUAGGAAGCUGGAUUUGGGGUUCCCCAAAUUUGAGCCACCCCAGUACCCAGUGUCAGGAGCACUUUUGUACACACAGAAUCCACCAUCCAAGGCGGCCCCAAGACGCUCAGUCUCCUCGGCUCUCCCAGCAACUGAGCCACUGCCUCAGACAAGAGCAGCAGGCCUUCCCGCUCACCAGGGCGGCGGGCCAGCAGGGAGGACGAGGGAAGGUGCCACCCGCUUCUCCCUGGAACCCCUGAACUGGGCAGGGACCGGGCUGGCACCCUGGCUGCUUCUCUGCCCUCUCCACUGCAUAGCCAUUUCUGCCCACAGAGUGAUGUCUGAGACAGGGCAACAGGCUGCCUCCUCCUCGGAGUGUGUGUUACCUUCUGCUUUUAUCUGAAGGCGGAGGAACAGCAAAGAAGGCUAGAGCAUGAGCAUCGUGCUGGGCCUGCAGCAUCCACAUCCUGCUCCUCAACUCUGCAUCAGCGUCUUCCUGAGACUGGCGAUGUCCCACUGCCUGGUGUCAGAAAGAGGCCCUUCCGAUACAGUGGUCUCUCUCCCCUUAGCCUUGGUUUUGCCUUCUGUGGUUUUGGUUCCCUCAACAACAUUAAUUGGAAAAUUCCAGAAAUAAGCAAGCUGUAAGUGUGAAGUUGCAGGUCAUCCUAGGUAGCGUGGUGAAAUCUCCCCAUUCCCAGUCUGUCCCCCAGUGCAGGACCCUCCUUCUAACCAGUGGGUCCACAGUGCACAUGCUAUCUCUGGCGGAGCUUCCCCCGGAGCCGUCCUGAGCACUACAUAGAGUGGCAGUGGCGCAGAGCUUUGUCCAGGUGACCUGUCUGUAACAGCCCUAUGCUGGGUCAAAAAGCCAGUGUCAUUCACGUCACUUCCUGUCCUCAUGUAGGCACUUCCUGUCCUCAUGUAGGCACUUCCUGUCCUCACGUAGGCACUUCCUGUCCUCACGUAGGCACUGCACCCUCUUGCGUCAGCAGCAGAAGAGAGAUGGGCGAGGACCGUAGGAGAGGAUGUCCUAAGGAAGUGAAGCCACACGUAACCUUCCUAGCAUGUUGUUACACUGACUCUGUUUGUUACAUUGUAGUUAACUGCCCGCUGUGCCUGUUGUGUCAGUGGAGCUCUAUCACAGGUGGGUGCGCAGGGAGACACACAGGAGGUGCAGGCUUCGGGACCAUCCGUGGUCUCAGUCGCCCACUGGAGGCUUGGGACGUACCUCAACGGUAAAGGAGCAAGGCUGAUGGCAGCAAAGACUUGGGGUGCCCCCCUCCUCCUCCACUGAAAGGGAGGGAGGCUUGUGCCUGGGAGACCAGGGCAGGGCAGAGAAGGCGUGCGGCCUGUGGGGAGGGCGCUACUGUCCAGUGUGCAGAUUUCAGGGUUGACCUCAGCCUGCGAGGCCAAAUCAGGUUGAGUCUGCAAGGCCAGCUCGGUUCUCCCGUCGGCCUCUCCAGUGCAGCCCAGGGCUCUGCGGUCCGAUCUCCUCUCUGCCCAGGCGAGCUGCUCCUCCCCAAAGUGUUCCUGCCCAAGCCAGGGCUUCAGCCUCCUGCACCAUCUUCACUAAGGACCACAGGAAAGAGCUGGAAAACUCAGCGGCUGCUGCUGAGAUUCACAGCGCGAUGGAGGUCCUGGCAGGCUCCUUUCUGUGUGGGCGGUGCCCCGUGGCCCCUCACUGAGCGCCGCUGGAGAAGAAAUGUCUGCUGCGCUGUGAAGACCGAAGUAACUCCCAGAGGUCCCCGCCUCUGAGGGGCGGAGGAGAGAUGCGCGUUCAGCGGGUCUGGGCCAAGCCGGUUCUUCCAAGUGCGUUUCCAGAAGGCAACGCAGCAGGGACUGCUGUCCCGCAGGAUGAGGCGCUCUGUAAGCGGUAAUCGGGGCUCGUAGCAGUCUGCCUCCCGCCGCCCUUGUCGGCAGCAGAAUUAGUGCACAGAUCCGCCCCGCAGUCACCCACCCGAAGGGCACAUGGGAUACCUCCAGGGCAGAACAGCCCUGGGAGGGCACGUGCGUGGGCACAAGCCCCCACCAGCUUGCGGUGAGUGAGCAGCCGAAGCUGCUGCUGCCCCUCACCAUGCAGGACCUCAGAGGAGGCCGCGGUCUGCAGGAGCAGGCGGGCCGCACCCGCAAAGCCAGCGGCUGUGCAGUGACAACGCCAGAGGAGCAGGCGGGCAGUUUCAGUACCCCCAGUCAUUACAGGUGAACGCUCAAACCAAAAUGCUAACUUCCAAGAUUAUCUCAGUUAUUACUUAACAAUAAUGCUGCCUCUGCCAAACAAGUUAUUCUUUGUGCAUAAAAAUAGCAAAUGAGCUCAGUAAUCCACAGCACCCUUUUAGGGAAAGAAGGCCAUGUCAAGAAUGUAUCUCCUCGAAAUUGAAUCAUGUUAACAAAGUCCAGCGAAGUGGGGCCGGACCAGGCAGGUAGGGCUGGAUGCCCGCUCAGGUGCAGGGUUGGGGCGCUAAGCCGUGACGCUACUCUCAGGGAUUGUGGCCUCCACAGUCGGUAAACCCUGUGCUCACCGUGGUGGCAGAGACGGGAGUGCCGCAGCACUCUGAGCUCCUGUGUGCUCAGCAGUCUUCAUCCCAAACCUCAGAACCGGGCCCCUGCGAUGUUCGGGGAGCUCAGCCUUCGGCUCAGUUGGCAACAAACCCGGAAAAGAGUCCGUUGCUUCUUUGAUAAGCAUCUGAGGAGCUCAUGGCGAUGUGAGGAAAUCUUCCAACUGGAAAUGUGUGAGGGAAAGCCAAGGCCCUGAAGUUUCAGUGGGCUCCAUCUCAAUCGGUGAAGGUCCCUGCAUGCACGGCCUGGUUACACACAGCAGGCGCAGCUCCACUCCCGCACCGGAGGAGCCCGUGGACCAGGGCAGGGCGGCCCUGAUGCCAGAGGUCGGAGGGAAUGAGUGUGUGAACUCCACGCAGUGCCUGCUGACCCUGCCGGCCUGGAUCUCAUCAUCCCUAGGAAGCCAGCAGAGGCCUGUAUUGGGGGAAGGUCAUUCUGAUAGCAGUGUGGCCCACAGCUUGGGUGGGGCAAGACAAGAGAGGGAGACAGGGAGACCCCGGGGGCUGCUGGGGGGGGAGGUGUUUGAAAUGAGGCAUGUCCAGAGCAGCAGCGCCAGAAGAGACGGUCUUUCUGGGGCAGAGCAAUAGGAUGGAUUGAUUACCUGAUUUAUGUGAUAAAGGGAGAGAUCAUCUUACUUUUAUAAAAUAGGGAUGCAAGAGGCUUGGGAGGUUUAGGAGGUCGAUGGGGAGUCAGAACUCACACUGCAGACAUCUCAGGACCCUGAAAGAGUCCGGGUGACAUCUUGAGAAAGCAGUCGGAUGGAGUGUGAACGCCACGUGCAGUGACUGAGACCAAGUACCAGCCAGGAGAGCAUGGAUGAGGCGAUGCCGAAUAUCACAGCCGCAGCAGAAACGCCGGACCCGCGGGCAGGUUGAGCAAGCCCCUCCACCACUUCCAGCUGAGAAGUGCAAUGCAGGCCUCAGUUUCCCCCCAUCUCAAGGCUCUCUGGACUGCUCUAUAAGGUCACCCAAGAACCCAGGGGCAGCUACCUUUACUGUCAGCUGGUUCCGGCUAGACUCAAACACCUCGUUCCUUAACCAGGAGCCUUUUCCUGUCUGCGUGAGAGCAGGGUGUGUAUAUCUGCGCUCAGUGAAGGUCACGGUUCUCCGUGUCUGUCUUCCCGUGCUGACACACGUAGUGCCCAGAUGCACAGCCCUGACCCUUUCUCCGGUACGUGCUGGACCAGGCCUGUUCAGCCUGAGGGGCCACAGGUCACCCUACCUCGGGAGCCAGCGUCCAGCUUCUACUCUAUGCCAGGGUCCUGCUGUCACUGCCACGGGCUCUGUGGCUGGACGAGACUGCUUUUUGGCUCAAGAAAAAUUGUUUUUGCAAUUGUCUUAUCUGAGCGCACAAAAUAAUUUAGGGGCUCACACACCGUGUAUAAUCAAAUUACCCAUUAAAAAAUACUGGAAGGAAACUGUUCUUAUUGCUUCC